rnacentral:rRNA from 1 species
UACGUAGGGUGCGAGCGUUAAUCGGAAUUACUGGGCGUAAAGCGCGCGCAGGCGGUUCUCCAAGUCCGGUGUGAAAGCCCCGGGCUCAACCUGGGAAUGGCAGUGGAAACUAGGGGACUUGAAUCUGGCAGAGGGGGGUGGAAUUCCACGUGUAGCAGUGAAAUGCGUAGAGAUGUGGAGGAACACCGAUGGCGAAGGCAGCCCCCUGGGCUGAGAUUGACGCUCAGGCACGAAAGCGUGGGGAGCAAACAGG